rnacentral:piRNA from 1 species
CUCUCUUUUAUAAGAGCUGCUGUGGUC